AAUUCAUUGACCUGUAUUGACAAGAUCUAUACAUUUCAUGGUGUGACAAUUAUACCUCAAUUUAAAAAUAUCAAAUAAAAAUAAAAUCACUGAUGGAUUCAGGCAACUACUUACCUGGUGUGAGGCUCACAGGCAGAGCUGUCUAUUUGCUUUAGCACAGCUGCUAAGGCAGCCUCAGCCUGGCAAGAUUCCAGGGCAGAGAAGACCUCCAUGACUAGAUCUUUCUAUAUCUGGCUCAGGCUCAAAAAAUUUUCUUUCCUGAAUGAAUUGGUUAAGUGGGCUCUGAAAAAUAGAAUGGUGCAAUGGUUUGGAUAUUUGACCCCUCCAAAUCUUAUAUUGAAAUGUGAUCCCUAAUGUUGGAGGUAAGACCUAAUGGGAGGUGUUUGGGUCAGUGGGGGAUUCCUCGUGAAUUACUUGGUGCUGUCCUGGUGGGAAUUAGUCAGUUCUUGCUCUAUGAUCUGUAGUUUUAGUGGAGUGGUCAGGAAAGGUCUUACUGAGGAAGACCUUUGUACAUACAUGAAAAUUGUCCCUUGUUAUGCACGAAAUAUUUGUGUCUUCUCCAAACUGAUAUGUUGAAAUCCUAACCCCCAAUAUAAUGGUGUUUGAAGGUAUGGAGCAGACCCUUGCUUUGUAUUACUGCAGUAUCCCAGGCCCAAGAGGUUUUUAUACCUCUCCGAGGGCUGAGGGGCUUUUGUUUCUAUUCUUUCCCUGGAAGUAGUUGAUUUUUCUUUUCUUUUCUUCUUUGAGACAGGGUGUCACUCUGUCCCCCAGGCUGGAGUGCAGUGGCAUGCUCACAGCUCACUGAAGCCUUUACCUCCCCGGGCUCAGGUGAUACUCCCACCUCAGCCUCUCGAGUAGCUGGGACUACAGGUAUGUACCAUCAUGCCCGGCUAAUUUUUGUAUUUUUUGUAGAGACAGGGUUUUGCCAUAUUGCAUAGGCUGGUCUCAAAACCCUGGGAUCAAGGAAUCUGCAACCUUGGCCUCCCAAAGUACUGGGAUUAUAGGCAUGAGCUAGGAUACCUGGCCAGAAGCAGUGGAUCUUUGCCUGGAUUCUUGGUAUGAGAAGCUCUGCUAC
rnacentral:lncRNA from 1 species